rnacentral:rRNA from 1 species
AAAGCUACUAAGGGCGCGUAGUGGAUGCCUUGGCGCCAAGAGCCGAAGAAGGGCGUAGCAAGGCUACGAUAAGCCUCGGUUAGCUGCCAAGUAAGCCGACCCGAGGAUACCCGAAUGAGGCAACUCAUCCGCCGUCAUAGGUGGAUACUCUUAGCGGAACACAUACGCUAAGGAGGGGGAACCGGGGGAACUGAAACAUCUCAGUACCCCGAGGAAAAGAGAUUAUUCCCUCAGUAGCGGCGAGCGAAAGGGGAAAAGCCCAAACCCUGGUGUCUUAGUGGUCUUGGGGCCUAUGUCAUCAGGGGGUUGUAAGGCACAGCGGGUCCCGACCCAAGUAGGGGCAAGAAGUUACAAACCGUAACUCUAGCCGAAGGUCUCUGGAAUGAGCCACCGCAGAAGGUGAAAGUCCUGUAGGCGAAAGGGGGAGGCUUCUAGCUGUGUUCUUGAGUACCACGGGACACGUGGAAUCCUGUGGGAAGCCGGGGUGACCACACUCCAAGGCUAAAUACUCUUGGCGACCGAUAGUGAACCAGUACCGUGAGGGAAAGGUGAAAAGAACCCCGGGAGGGGAGUGAAAGAGAUCUGAAACUGCGUGCCUACAAACGGUCAGAGUUCGCCUUCGGGCGAAUGAUGGCGUGCCUAUUGAAGAAUGAGCCGGCGAGUUAAUCUAUGCAGCAAGGUUAAGCAAGUCAACUUGUGGAGCCGUAGCGAAAGCGAGUCCGAAGAGGGCGUUCAGUUGCAUGGAUUAGACCCGAACCCGGGUGAGCUAUCCUUGGCCAGAGUGAAGUUUCGAUAACAUCGAAACGGAGGCUCGAACCCGUGAAUGUGGCAAAAUUCUGGGAUGAGCUGUGGAUAGGGGUGAAAUGCCAAACGAACCCGGAGAUAGCUGGUUCUCCCCGAAAUGCAUUGAGGUGCAGCCUCGAGCGAUGAGCUUUGCAGGUAGAGCUCUGGAUGGACUAGGGGGUGAAAAACUUACCAAAUCCAACCAAACUGCGAAUGGCAAAGCAUUUAGCUCGGGAGUGAGGCAGUGGGGGAUAAGCUUCAUUGCCAAAAGGGAAACAGCCCAGAUCACCAGCUAAGGUCCCGAAGUGCAGGCUAAGUGUGAAAGGAAGUGGCGUCGCAUAUACAGCCAGGAUGUUGGCUUAGAAGCAGCCAUCAUUCAAAGAGUGCGUAACAGCUCACUGGUCGAGUGAUGCCGCGCCGAAGAUGUAACGGGGCUCAAGCCUGCCACCGAAGCUGUGAGUUUCCGCCGUCAGGCGGGAGCGGUAGGGGAGCGUUCCCUUCAGCUGAGAAGCCUCGGCGUAAGCCGUGGUGGAGCGGAGGGAAGUGAGAAUGUCGGCAUGAGUAGCGUAAGGCGUGUGAGAAACACGUCCACCGAAAGCCUAAGGUUUCCUACGAAAGGUUAAUCCGCGUAGGGUUAGUCGGGCCUAAGCCGAGGCCGCAAGGCGUAGGCGAAGGACAGAUGGUUAAUAUUCCAUCACCACCCGUUUCCGUUAAGCCUCGGGGAAUACAGGAAGGUAGGCCGGGCGUGCCCAUUGGACAUGGCGCGUCCCCGAUCGUAAGUGCGAGGGGAGGCAAAUCCCCCCUUGCUUAAGCUGAGGAGAGGGGAAAGUUGCGGGGCAACCCAAGGCGAUUCGGCUGAACCUUGCUGUCUAGAAAAACCUCGUUGCUUGGAGGCGAGUGCCCGUACCGCAAUCCGACACCGGUAGGCCAGGGUAAAAGCCCUGAGGUGAUCGAGAGAACUCUCGUUAAGGAACUCGGCAAUCUAACCCCGUAACUUCGGGAGAAGGGGUGCCCUUGGAGGUGAAGAGGUUUACCCUUGGAGCUUCUGGGGGUUGCAGAGAAAAGGCCCAGGCGACUGUUUAACAAAAACACAGGUCUCUGCCAAAGCGCAAGCUCAAGUAUAGAGGCUGACGCCUGUCCAGCGCCGGAAGGUUAACGGGAGGAGUUAGGAGGAGAUUUUCGAUUCCGAAGCUCCGAACUUAAGCCCCGGUUAGCGACGGCCGUAACUAUAACGGUCCUAAGGUAGCGAAACCCCUUGUCAGGUAAGUUCUGACCUGCAUGAAUGGCGUAACGACUUGGGCGCUGUCUCAACGAGGGACUCGGUGAAAUUGAAGUGCCCGUGAAGAUGCGGGCUACCCGCGACGGGACGAAAAGACCCCGUGGAGCUUUACUAUAGCUUGGCAUUGGAUUGAGACUUGGCAUGUGUAGGAUAGGUGGGAGGCUGAGAAGCCCUGGCGCCAGUUGGGGCGGAGCCAACGGUGAAAUACCACUCUUGUUGAGUUUCGGUUCUAACCCUUGUGCAAGCGAGGGGACAGUGCCUGGUGGGUAGUUUGACUGGGGCGGUCGCCUCCCAAAAGGUAACGGAGGCGCCCAAAGGUCCCCUCAAGGUGGAUGGAAAUCACCUGUAGAGCGUAUUGGUAUAAGGGGGCUUGACUGUGAGACCUACAAGUCGAGCAGGGACGAAAGUCGGGCAAAGUGAUCCCACGGUGCUGUGUGGAAAGGCCGUGGCUUAUCGGACAAAAGCUACCCCGGGGAUAACAGGCUUAUAGUGCCCAAGAGUUCAUAUCGACGGCACUGUUUGGCACCUCGAUGUCGGCUCGUCACAUCCUGGGGCUGGAGAAGGCCCCAAGGGUUGGUCUGUUCGCCCAUUAAAGUGGUACGUGAGCUGGGUUCAGACCGUCGUGAGACAGGUCGGUCUUUAUCCGUCGUGGGCGCAGGAGAUUUGAGAGGAGCUCUCCCUAGUACGAGAGGACCGGGAGGGACAGACCUAUGGUGUGCCAGUUGUCCCGCCAGGGGCAUUGCUGGGUAGCUAUGUCUGGAUCGGAUAAGCGCUGAAAGCAUCUAAGUGCGAAGCCGACCUCAAGAUGAGAUCUCCCACUGGGUAACCAGGUAAGACCGCAGCGAGACUAGCUGCUUGAUAGGCGGCGUGUAUAAGGCGGGCAACCGCUUCAGCUAAGCCGUACUAAUCGGUCGAGGGCUUUU